AGUUACCAUCAUUAGUUGGGGACUCUAGCGAGACUGCCAGUGAUAAACUGGAGGAAGGUGGGGAUGACGUCAAAUCAUCAUGCCCCUUAUGACCUGGGCUACAAACGUGAUACAAUGGCUGAAACAAAGGGCAGCGAAGGAGCGAUCUGGAGCGAAACCCAAAAAAGCAGUCUCAGUUCGGAUUGAAGUCUGCAACUCGACUUCAUGAAGUCGGAAUCGCUAGUAAUCGCGGAUCAGAACGCCGCGGUGAAUACGUUCUCGGGGUUU
rnacentral:rRNA from 1 species